rnacentral:rRNA from 1 species
CCUGGGCUACACACGUGCUACAAUGGCCGGUACAAAGGGCUGCAAGACCGUGAGGUUGAGCGAAUCCCAGAAAGCCGGUCUCAGUUCGGAUUGGAGUCUGCAACUCGACUCCAUGAAGUUGGAAUCGCUAGUAAUCGCGGAUCAGCAUGCCGCGGUCGAAUACGUUCCCGGGCCUU